GGGAAGAAAACGCUGGUCGGAUGGACGGACGCGACAUCGCGGUCAAUAAACCGGUCCCGGUGUGAGGAUGACACGCAACCUGUUGUAGGUGUCUAGGGCUACAUAAGCAAAAAAAAGAAGAAGAAGAAGAAGAAGAAGAAGCUAGAACUUUGACAUCAAGACUCUGUCUGGGCUCCGGGAUUAGCAAGUGUGGAAGGCAGACGUGUGGACUCUACCGACUGGCUGUGUACUGUAACAUACCUGCACAAUUGAUGUGUGACACUGUUCAUCGUUCUCAAAAUUUCACAUCGCUUCGGCAGGACUUGCGGCAGACGUGCAGGGGGUUGGUUUCUCUCUUUGGUUAUCUAGCUGUAUGAGUAUAAAUGCAUGUCAUAAAGCUAGAUAACCGAAAGUAGAAAUGAUCCUCGCCUUCUUCCUGAAACAGACGCCGCUGAAUAGCCGACUGGACUCUUCAGCGUCCACUCCCCGUCCAUAACACGGCGUAAUGGAGGAGCAUGGCGGGAGCAUGGGCGGAUACUGUGGGAGAGACAGGACGCCCAGAGUGGGAACAUCCUCCAUUUUCUGGAAAACACCGUGCCAUCUGUGGCCCUCCGGGGAACAGGGGAAGCCGUGCCCAUGCCACCGGCGACAAAGCCCGGUCAGCCCCGGUCAGCCCCGGUCAGCCCCUGGAGCCCAGCCGCACAGAGGGAGGCUGGCCUGGAGGCCAUCUUGAGGGAGAUCUCACUGAAAUAGCUAAGAUGGCUGGACUGGCACAGGAGGACACAGCUCCGGCACUGACAGCCAAAGCGACUGGAUGUCCUAUGGAGCACAACCCAGCUGUUCAGAGUCUGUAUUACUGAAGAGAAUAAGCACAUAGAACACUUCAACUGAGAAUUGGUCUACAUUUUUGUUCAGAUGUAAAACAUUUUAGUGAACUUUAACUGACGUGCUGAAUGUGGUCUUUAUUGUUGUUUUACUUCGCUUUCUGGUUCAACUUUAAAUGUUCGCCCAACUAAGCUAAAGUAUCAUGAAUAUUUUGUAUUUAUUGUCAUCAUUGUGAUAUAACUUCUGCAAAUAAAAACU